UACGGAGGGUGCAAGCGUUAUCCGGAUUCACUGGGUUUAAAGGGCGCGUAGGCGGGCUCGUAAGUCAGGGGUGAAAUCCCACGGCCCAACCGUGGAAGUGCCUCUGAUACUGCGGGCCUCGAGGGGGAUAGGGGCGUGCGGAACUCAGGGUGGAGCGGUGAAAUGCGUAGAUAUCCUGAGGAACACCGGUGGCGAAAGCGGCGCGCUGGAUCCCUUCUGACGCUGAGGCGCGAAAGCCAGGGGAGCAAACGGG
rnacentral:rRNA from 1 species